rnacentral:rRNA from 2 species
UUGACCUCGGAUCAGGUAGGGAUACCCGCUGAACUUAAGCAUAUCAAUAAGGCGGA